UCCAGUCUAGGUGAGACAAGGCGACGGCGAGCAAGAUACAUGCAAGCCUAGCAAAUGAUGCUGCAUGCAAAUGCAAACCAGGCAGCACCAUAGCCGAGCUCGCCCAAUGUAGCUGGAAGAGCUGGAGCUAGAGCUAUAAGCAUGCUUGAUUGAUUGAGAAUGAGAGAGAGCUAAACAAAGAUGAAGAACAAGGAGGAGGAGGAGAACGUACCCUUGGAACAAAUGCCAGGCAUUAACGAUAUGAUAUGGUACUACACAAACACCACCACCGGCGUGGUGUGUUUCUCGGCGUGAGUUUUUUCUUUUCUUCUUCUUUCUUUCUUUGCGCAAACCAGAUUGAAUGGCGGUGCCUGGGGUCCGGGCCGUCGGAUCGCCGCCCGCAUCGGACGGCGGCGGCGCCGGGGGCCUAUUUUGGGGUUAUUUGUUUUCGAGAAAUAAAUUGGGGGGAUUUUCUUU